rnacentral:rRNA from 1 species
GUAGGGAAUAUUGCACAAUGGAGGAAACUCUGAUGCAGCGACGCCGCGUGAGUGAUGAAGGCCUUCGGGUCGUAAAGCUCUGUCGCAGGGGAAUAACACAAUGAAGGUACCCUGUAAGAAAGGAUCGGCUAACUUCGUGCCAGCAGCCGCGGUAAGACGAGGGAUCCUAGCGUUGUUCGGAAUCACUGGGCGUAAAGCGGAUGUAGGUGGCUAUGUAAGUCAGAUGUGAAAGCCUGGGGCUCAACCCCAGAAGUGCAGUUGAUACUGCGUAGCUUGAGUGUCGGAGAGGUUACUAGAAUUGUUGGUGUAGUGGUGAAAUACGUAGAUAUCAACAGGAAUACCGGAGGCGAAGGCGGGUAACUGGCCGAACACUGACACUGAGAUCCGAAAGCGUGGGGAUCAAACAGGAUUAGAUACCCCGGUAGUCC